GAUGAACGCUGGCGGCGUGCUUAACACAUGCAAGUCGAACGAAGCACUUUAUUUGAUUUCCUUCGGGACUGAUUAUUUUGUGACUGAGUGGCGGACGGGUGAGUAACGCGUGGGUAACCUGCCUUGUACAGGGGGAUAACAGUUGGAAACGGCUGCUAAUACCGCAUAAGCGCACGGCAUCGCAUGAUGCAGUGUGAAAAACUCCGGUGGUAUAAGAUGGACCCGCGUUGGAUUAGCUAGUGGGUGAGGUAACGGCCCACCAAGGCGACGAUCCAUAGCCGACCUGAGAGGGUGACCGGCAACAUUGGGACUGAGACACGGCCCAAACUCCUACGGGAGGCAGCAGUGGGGAAUAUUGCACAAUGGGCGAAAGCCUGAUGCAGCGACGCCGCGUGAGCGAAGAAGUAUUUCGGUAUGUAAAGCUCUAUCAGCAGGGAAGAUAAUGACGGUACCUGACUAAGAAGCACCGGCUAAAUACGU
rnacentral:rRNA from 1 species